rnacentral:tRNA from 1 species
AGAAGCUUAGGUUAACAAAACCAAGAGCCUUCAAAGCCUUAAAUAAGAGUGAGACCCCCUUAGCUUCUGC